ensembl:lncRNA
UUCACCAUUAGCUGCUCUGAAUUUGGGAGGCUUUCUGUAAUCACAGGGCAUCUUACAAUUACUGUCGGCCAGGCAGCUGCCUUUAAGUAUGUCAUCAACUGCGACUGUGCUGAGCAGAGCUAUGAAAUAGGAGCGGGGCAGGUGCACAGCCGUUAUCGCGAGAGUAUUAGCAGGAAACCCGGAAAGCGACCGUUAGAGAUCCCGCUGUGCCAAUGGUCAGCCUAGCAGUGGUGGGACUCGCGGCAGAAAGUGUGGUGAGAGGCAGAUUACAGCCUUCUCCCCGGGGCCCUCCAGGUGCUCUGGCCUCAGGCCAGCAGGUGAACUGGGGGGCCGUGGGGACAGGCCAGGGGCUGUGUCUCUCACACGGCUGCCUGUUGGUCGGGUCCAAGCCUGGAAGUGACCGUGAACCUCUUCCCGCUCCUCGCCUGCGAGACUUGAUGGCGACGUUAGUCGUCUCCACUGGUCUCCGUCCACAGAAGCCCCAGCAGCUGAAGGAUACACACACUGCCAUUCAGGAACAUCGUGACCUGACCAUGACUUCGCCUCAGGAACAAAGGACCUGGGACUUCCCUGGUGGGCCAGUGGUUAAGACUUCACCUUCCAAUGCAGAGGAUGCAGGUUCAAUCCCAAUCCCUGGUGGCUCUGUGGUCGAGAAUCUACCUGCCAAUGCAGGGGACACAGGUUUUAUCCCUGGGUUAAGAAGAUCCUCUGGAAGAUGAAAUGGCAACCCACUCCAGUAUUCUUGCCUGAAAAAUCCCAUGGACAGAGUUGCCUGGUGGACUGCAGUCCAUGGGGUUGCAAAGAGUCCAGCACAACUGAGUGACUGAACAUGCAUGCAUGCAUGCCCUCAUAAGAGACCCUACAGCUGGAUACAAGAAGUCUGUGACCCAGAAGAGGGCCUUCCUGAUCUUGGACUUUCAGCUUCCAGAACUUUGAGAAAUAAAUUUUUGUUGUGUUUUAAGC